GCGGCAAUAGCUCAGUCGGUAGAGCGUUGGCUUCCCAAGCCGAAGGUCGCGGGUUCGAGCCCCGUUUGCCGCUCCA
rnacentral:tRNA from 1 species